AACCUUUGGCACUCCAGAUGUGGACUACAUUUCUUUAGUGCUUUUUCAGACACAAUGCUGGCAAAGGUAUCAAGGGAGAUUUAGUCCACAUCUGGAGUGCCAAAGGUUGC